GAUGAACGCUGGCGGCGUGCCUAAUACAUGCAAGUCGAGCGAACAGACGAGGAGCUUGCUCCUUUGAUGUUGGCGGCGGACGGGUGAGUAACACGUGGGUAACCUACCUAUAAGACUGGGAUAACUUCGGGAAACCGGAGCUAAUACCGGAUAAUAUUUCGAACCGCAUGGUUCGAUAGUGAAAGAUGGCUUUGCUAUCACUUAUAGAUGGACCUGCGCCGUAUUAGCUAGUUGGUAAGGUAACGGCUUACCAAGGCAACGAUACGUAGCCGACCUGAGAGGGUGAUCGGCCACACUGGAACUGAGACACGGUCCAGACUCCUACGGGAGGCAGCAGUAGGGAAUCUUCCGCAAUGGGCGAAAGCCUGACGGAGCAACGCCGCGUGAGUGAUGAAGGUCUUCGGAUCGUAAAACUCUGUUAUUAGGGAAGAACAAACGUGUAAGUAACUGUGCGCGUCUUGACGGUACCUAAUCAGAAAGCCACGGCUAACUACGUGCCAGCAGCCGCGGUAAUACGUAGGUGGCAAGCGUUAUCCGGAAUUAUUGGGCGUAAAGCGCGCGUAGGCGGUUUUUUAAGUCUGAUGUGAAAGCCCACGGCUCAACCGUGGAGGGUCAUUGGAAACUGGAAAACUUGAGUGCAGAAGAGGAAAGUGGAAUUCCAUGUGUGGCGGUGAAAUGCGCAGAGAUAUGGAGGAACACCAGUGGCGAAGGCGACUUUCUGGUCUGUAACUGACGCUGAUGUGCGAAAGCGUGGGGAUCAAACAGGAUUAGAUACCCUGGUAGUCCACGCCGUAAACGAUGAGUGCUAAGUGUUAGGGGGUUUCCGCCCCUUAGUGCUGCAGCUAACGCAUUAAGCACUCCGCCUGGGGAGUACGACCGCAAGGUUGAAACUCAAAGGAAUAGACGGGGACCCGCACAAGCGGUGGAGCAUGUGGUUUAAUUCGAAGCAACGCGAAGAACCUUACCAAAUCUUGACAUCCUUUGACCCUUCUAGAGAUAGAAGUUUCCCCUUCGGGGGACAAAGUGACAGGUGGUGCAUGGUUGUCGUCAGCUCGUGUCGUGAGAUGUUGGGUUAAGUCCCGCAACGAGCGCAACCCUUAAGCUUAGUUGCCAUCAUUAAGUUGGGCACUCUAAGUUGACUGCCGGUGACAAACCGGAGGAAGGUGGGGAUGACGUCAAAUCAUCAUGCCCCUUAUGAUUUGGGCUACACACGUGCUACAAUGGACAAUACAAAGGGCAGCGAAACUGCGAGGUCAAGCAAAUCCCAUAAAGUUGUUCUCAGUUCGGAUUGUAGUCUGCAACUCGACUACAUGAAGCUGGAAUCGCUAGUAAUCGUAGAUCAGCAUGCUACGGUGAAUACGUUCCCGGGUCU
rnacentral:rRNA from 1 species